rnacentral:misc_RNA from 1 species
GAAAUUUUCACUUGAGUGAGUUUACAAAUUGGGUUUAAGCGCUUUUGUUAAAGGUUAAAUUGCUGGACGAACGCAUGAAGGAAAGUAUGUUAUUGAAUAUGUUUGAGUUUAUAGGCAUGAGAACGAAAAUGAAUAAGUUGGAUUUUUCUGUUGCUCUUUAAAGUAUAAAUACUUGGAAGAAAUGAGAAAUUUUAAUUAAUUGAAAUAGGUUGGUUGAGAAUUGAUGAUAA